GACGAACGCUGGCGGCGUGCUUAACACAUGCAAGUCGAACGGUGAAAGCGGAGCUUGCUCCGCUGGAUCAGUGGCGAACGGGUGAGUAACACGUGGGCAACCUGCCCUUCACUUCGGGAUAACUCCGGGAAACCGGGGCUAAUACCGGAUAUGACCUCUGCGGGCAUCCGCGGAGGUGGAAAGUUCUUCGGUGAAGGAUGGGCCCGCGGCCUAUCAGCUUGUUGGUGAGGUAGGGGCUCACCAAGGCGACGACGGGUAGCCGGCCUGAGCGGGCGACCGGCCACACGGGGACGGAGACACGGCCCAGACUCCUACGGGAGGCAGCAGUGGGGAAUAUUGCGCAAUGGGCGAAAGCCUGACGCAGCAACGCCGCGUGCGGGAUGACGGCCUUCGGGUUGUAAACCGCUUUCAGCAGGGAAGAAGCCGCAGGGUGACGGUACCUGCAGAAGAAGCACCGGCUAACUACGUGCCAGCCGCCGCCGUAA
rnacentral:rRNA from 1 species